GGUGCUGUAGACUAAUCGGUUAGGUCGGCUCCACGGAAUGAAGGAGGUGCGGGUUCGAUUCCCUCCGACGCCC